AACGAACACUGGCGGCAGGCUUAACACAUGCAAGUCGAGCGCCCCGCAAGGGGAGCGGCAGACGGGUGAGUAACGCGUGGGAAUCUACCCAUCUCUACGGAAUAACGCAUGGAAACGUGUGCCAAUACCGUAUACGUCCUUCGGGAGAAAGAUUUAUCGGAGAUGGAUGAGCCCGCGUUGGAUUAGCUAGUUGGUGGGGUAAAGGCCUACCAAGGCGACGAUCCAUAGCUGGUCUGAGAGGAUGAUCAGCCACACUGGGACUGAGACACGGCCCAGACUCCUACGGGAGGCAGCAGUGGGGAAUAUUGGACAAUGGGCGCAAACCUGAUCCAGCCAUGCCGCGUGAGUGAUGAAGGCCCUAGGGUUGUAAAGCUCUUUCACCGGUGAAGAUAAUGACGGUAACCGGAGAAGAAGCCCCGGCUAACUUCGUGCCAGCCGCCGCCGUAAUAC
rnacentral:rRNA from 1 species